rnacentral:lncRNA from 1 species
ACCUCCCAUGCUACUGUCACCUCCCAUGCUACGUCACCUCCAUGUACUUCGUCUCCCAUGUUACUGUCACCUCCAUGUUACUGUUCACUCCCAUGUUACUGUCACCAUCCCAUGCUACCUUCACCUCCCAUGCUACUGUUACCUCCCCCCAUGCUUACUGUCACCUCCCAUGUUACUGUCACCUCUCAUGCUACUGUCACCUCCCAUGUUACUGGCACCUCCCAUGUUACUGUCACCUCCCAUGCUACUGUCACCUCCCUUCACCUCCCUGUACCUGUACCUCCCAUGUUACUGUUUCUCCCAUGCUACUGUCACCUCCCAAAUGUUACUGUCACCUUCCCAUGCUACUGUCAUCUCCACAGUGUAAAUCAAUUGUGCAUCCCCAAUGGCACCAUCUUCCCUUUUUAGUGUACUACUUUGACCAGUGCACUACAUAGGGAAACAGAACACACCCAGUGCUUUCAAUAAUUAGAUCCUACAUCAGACUGAUUUCAUCUUUUCAGCUCCACACCUCCACAUGGGUUGUUUACGUGUCCACCAUACAAUCCACCUGGAAACGAGCAGCCAUUGGAUU